rnacentral:lncRNA from 1 species
AUGAGCCAGACAUCCUUCCUCCUCUGGCCUGGGAGCCUCCUAUGGACACUGCAGGCUUCCACCUGCGGGCAAGGCAUCCUCCUCCUCGGGGAGCUGGAGCCCUCCUCCUCCCGGGGUGCAGCCGCCUUCCUAGUACCACUGAGGCAGGCAUCCUUCCUCCUCCAGGGGCCUCAGGCUUCCUCCUCCGGGCGAGGACUCCCUCCUCCGGGUGCUGCGGCCUUCCUCCUCCACAUGAGGCAUCCUUCCUCCUCGGGGUGCUGCGGGCUUCCUCCUGCGAGGCGUCCUUCCUCCUCCCAAAGACGCGUCCUUCCUCCCCCGGGGGCCGCAGGCUUCCCCCUCAGCAAGGCUCCUUCCUCCUGGGGCGCUGCGGCCUUCCCCCUCGGGGAGCGGGGCCUCCUCCUAGCAGCGCUGCAGGCUUCUUCCUCCGAGCGAGGCGCCCAUCCUCCUCCCAGCAAGGCGUCCUUCAUCUGCCGGGUCUGGGGGCUUCCUCCUCCUCCAGGUGCUGCGGGCUUCCAACUCUGGGGGCUGCCGCCUUGUCCUGUGGGCGCUGUGGCCUUCCUCCCCGGGGCUGCGGCCUUCCUCCCUGGGCUGCGGCCUUCCUCCCUGGGCUGCGGCCUUCCUCCCUGGGGCUGCGGCCUUCGUCCUCCAAGCGAGGCGGCCUCCCUCCCCGGGGCUGCGGCCUUCCUCCCCGGGCUGCGGCCUUCCUCCCUGGGGCUGCGGCCUUCCUCCCUGGGGCUGNUUCGUCCUCCGCGAGGCGGCCUCCCUCCCCGGGGCUGCGGCCUUCCUCCCCGGGCUGCGGCCUUCCUCCCUGGGGCUGCGGCCUUCCUCCCUGGGCUGUGGCCUUCCUCCCUGGGGCUGCGGCCUUCGUCCUCCAAGCGAGGCGGCCUCCCUCCCCGGGGCUGCGGCCUUCCUCCCUGGGCUGCGGCCUUCCUCCCCGGGGCUGCGGCCUUCCUCCCUGGGGCGCUGGGGCUUCCUCCUCCCGUCGAGGCGGCCUUCCUCCUCGGGGCGCUGCAGGCUUCCUCCUCCUCCUCCGGGGCCUGGGGGCUUCCUCCUCCAGGUGAUGCGUCCUUCCUCCCCCCGGCGCGGUCCGCACCCCUGCCGCCGGUUCUCCCAUCAUCACGCAGGCGGCGCCCCCAGAGGCCGCGGGAACCGUCGCACCCACCCCUGCGGCGCACCCGGGACUGGACCCCACGACCGCACGCGGGCCCUUGGGGACAGCAAGGCCCAGCCGGGCUGCGCCCCGACCCAGCCCGCAGCCCCAGCUCCCCCGCAGACCGCAGCCCCCGCAGAGCAGGGACCUGA